rnacentral:rRNA from 1 species
UCGGAUUGGAGUCUGCAACUCGACUCCGUGAAGCUGGAUUCGCUAGUAAUCGCGCAUCAGCCAUGGCGCGGUGAAUACGUUCCCGGGCCUUGUACACACCGCCCGUCAAGCCAUGGGAGCCGGGGGUGCUUGAAGUGCGUCGCCGCAAGGCGCGCCCUAGAGCAAAACCGGUGACUGGGGCUAAGUCGUAACAAGGUAUC